rnacentral:tRNA from 1 species
UAUGAAUUGCCUGAUAAAAAGGAUUACUUUGAUAGAGUAAAUUAUGUAGAUUUUCUACAUUCAUAA